UGGAUCUGCUCUCUCCACUACUGGUGUAGGACCCUGUAGAAGACAUCUACUGCCCUAAGCUGCUAGACCUGGCUGAUGCUGAGGAGCAGCUGGAUGGCCCUAGGUAGUGUAUCCUGAGGAGGUGGAGGAUGACCAUGGGACUCAGGCUUUGCUGAAUCAUGAGUGAUGGAAGCUUUGAGAUCCCCCCGGGCCUUUGUUGCAUGACAGGAUUGUGUAUAGAGAGAGCAGCUCCAGGCUGCUAGCAGCCCCCAGGGCAGGGACGAUGGCUGUGAUUGGUGAUGACUGGAGUGAGACCUCUUCAAACAAGCCCCCCAGUGUCCAUCAGACUGCAACAACUUCCAGCCACUCACUGCUGACUGUCAGGCUCAGGGCCAGAUGCUUUCACCAGGCCACUCUGAGCUAUCGAGUCCCCGGCUGGGCACUACUCUGCAAAUGCUCCCCUGGGUUCGAAAUGGCACAAAUCCUGCUCAAAUGAGUGGUGUCAAAUGUUGUUUGUACUGGCUGCACGAUCCAGAGGGAAAUCAUUUGCAAUGAGAAAAUGGAGAGGCUCUGAGGGCUAGAAAUACAUUUGGGUCCAAGAUGAGCAAUGAAGAGAUGAGUUUUUGCAGUAAUUCCUCACCCCGCUGUCAUCAGUGGGAUACAAACC